UACGUAGGGUGCAAGCGUUAUCCGGAAUUACUGGGCGUAAAGAGCUCGUAGGCGGUUGGAUAAGUCGCAUGUUAAAGACCCAAGCUUAACUUGGGGGCUGCGUGCGAUACUGUCCGGCUAGAGAACGGGAGAGGAAUGUGGAAUUCCUGGUGUAGCGGUGAAAUGCAUAGAUAUCAGGAAGAACACCUGUGGCGAAGGCGGCAUUCUAGACCGUUUCUGACGCUGAGGAGCGAAAGCCAGGGGAGCGAACGGG
rnacentral:rRNA from 1 species